CAAACUAUUUCUGUCAAUGGCCAGAUAGUAAAUAUGGUAGGCUUUGCCGUCUUCCUGGUCUCUGUCACAGAUGCGCAAGUCUGCCUUUGCAGGUGAAAGCAGUAAGACACAAUCAGUAAACAAGUGGGUACAGCCGUGUUCCAGUAAAACUUUGCAAAGAGAGGCCGAAGCGUCAGAGGCGAAGACGUGCCAGGCGAUGCCAUAGCUGCAGCUUUGUGGGGUCAAGAGCCAAGCAGUAUAGGAAGCCUCUCAAAGCUCUGAUAAGGCAAGGAAAUGGAUUCUUUGCUGGCGCGUCUGGAAGGAGUGCAGCAUGGCCAUCCCCUUGUUUUAAGCUGGACGCGACUGAUUUGGGAAUUCUAACCUCCAAAACUUAAGGCCGAGGAAUGGCUGUGUAAUUGAAGAGCCCCCGUGAAAAGUGAAGAUGGGGUUCACAGAUCAGUAGGAACUUCAAUAAGGAAAUGGCAGAGCAUUGAAACCUCCCAGGAUACCUUUGAAGCCAGCCCUCGGAGGAAACCCUCUAUUCUUUUGGGAAGAAUUAGGUGCCCUGUCGAUGACUCCUUUAGAAAACAAUCACCCAAAAUCCCAAAUUAAGAUCCCCCCUGAGUGUGGCAAAUGCAGUCACACGGGCAUAUGGUGCUUCGGAGAAUCCAAGAGAAUGGAUUUCCAAGCAAGAUACAUUUCAGGUUCGGCACACCGGCAAGUUGAACAAACUCACAGAGGCGCACACCGAUUUUAGGAGGAAAAGCUGGACAAGCAUCUUAACUGCCUUUAUUUGAGACAACGCAGUGGUCAUGCCUCUCUUAAUCAUGGAAGUUCCGCAGGAACCAUCAGCUCUCACAAGAGCAUUUCACUAUUACACAGUCAGAACCUGGUGCAACAGCUUCUCGAGUCAAAAAACUGAGAGGGAAGAAGCGGGGUGACCACUGUGGCGUGAAGAGGGGACGCAGAAAUCCCAUCUCCCCUGCCUCGUAGUACCGCCACUCCCUUCCAAUGAUGCUGCCGUUGCUCAAACGUCGUGCAUGCCGCCUCUGGUGCUACCCACAGUACUUCCUCUCCAAACAUACGGAGAAGUGUUUCAAGGCGUAGGUAAUCACCACUGGUGACUCUGUGAGGGGUCCAACUAGAUAGUGAGGAUUUUUCUUUUUCGUUACGGCAGAUUCAAAGAUAAGGAGACAAGUUUUCUUUCACAGCUAAGUCAUCAACUACUCACAAGGGGAAUCCACGGGAUAAAGUCUCAGAGUUUUUGAGCAAUGCCAGCAUAAUGGGGGGAGGUUCAAAACAUCCAGCUGAUUAUGGAAGGACACUUCCGGUUGUAAUUGGUGGGAUAGGUUUGCAUAACAACAAAACAAAAGAAAAAUCACUGAAAUUUUAUCUCAUGUUAUAUGGGAAAAAAUCUGUCCUCUCAAGUAUGCUUGUAAUUGUAGUCUCCUCUUUCAAGAAACUUUUUCUUUUUUAUACUGUAUUAAGGCACAGGAGAGGGAUACUAAGGAUCUCCUCUUACCUCCUAAAACAAUAAUACUAAGGAGAUUUAAAAUAAACCCAAGUUUUCUUUUUAAAAAUCCCAGACAGAUCAUGUAUACACAUUGAAGACAUAAUUGGGGGAAAAAAAUCAACCUUUCCCCUCAACCUUAUCAUUGUCUAAUAUUUUAAAAUAAGCAUCGAAAUGUUUAGCCCUGCAAAAGAUCUAAAGAAACCACAUCUGCCAGAAGGAUUGCUAUUGAUCUGUCUCAAGCAUAUAGCCAUGUAUGAUAUAAACUCAAACUUAAGGUUUGUUUUCCAAGACUAUACAGCUCUGCAAAAAUAUCCAGAAAUCCAGUUUCCCAAAAAGAUGAGUAAGCCCCUUUCAGUCACAAUUUAAACUGGGCAUUUCAUCUUUUAAGAUUACAAUACAAAUAAGAUGAAUCAUUUGGUACUUUAUCUAGGAUUGUUCCUACUGAUGGCACUUUUUCCUGCAGUUUGCAAAAAUGAAAAAGUUAAAGCUGUAGAUCUGAGCCUAAAUUUCAUAUUCGCAACUAGUAAUUAUUUUUAAAUCUGAUCAUUUGCCAUUUAAAAAAGGCAAUUUGAAGAAAAUGUCUGCUUCAUGCUUAUGCUUCCUGUAUUUUGAAAGCAUUCACAGCUAAAGAUACUCUGGAUUUUAUCCCCUAAGGAGGGCUGAGGAAGAAAGGGUAAGAUCUUGAACAGAGGUCUCCUUCAGCACCCAAGUGUUUUAAUGGAAUGAAAAAGGACACUUCAAGCCAUAAUAGAUAUGCAGGGCUGGGUAAGGUUGAUAAAUUAAUUCUAUGGUUAUGUUCAUUUUCUUUUAAAAUGCUAACUUACCAAGAACAUAACAGAGGAAACGUGUUUUCUGUUUUUGUUUUUGUCCUAUCUAAAAUUUAAAAAGUAGCAAAGUGAAUUUCCUUUGCACCCUAACAUUAAUCCCUAUCAUAUUUAUGAGGACGUACAGUAUCCUAAGAUAUGUGCAUUUUAAAUGUUCCAAACUGUGGUGGAAUUGGGGCAUUCUGAGAAUUCUAGGUAGCAAAAGAGCACAAAAAUUGUGACAUGGGACUGGCCCUCUUCUAUAGCAGGAACAUUUAAACCAAGAAAUUGAGAGGUAAAAUUCAAAAAUUUGUGAGGGCUUCAUUGAAUACAGCAGAAAAUGACCCAACUAGAAAUGAGGUAUGUCAUGUGACCCUCCAGCCUUGUUAGGGCAUUCCCCGUGGAGCUGAGGAAUUUGAUCUGUUUUACAGCAAACAGAUGUUUGGUGUUAGGGUGAAGGUACACAAUUUUUCAGAGUAUCUAUGAAUCUCUGAUUAAUAGUUUGAUGCAAAAAAGGAACUAAAUCCAAAACCUUAAUAAUGUAUUUUGCUUUCCUGUAAUGACUCCUGUAUAUAGUGCUACUACUUAGAUUGUGUAGCUCUCUCUACUAAUUACACUAAGGAGCUUUUUAAAAAU